GAUGAACGCUGGCGGCGUGCUUAACACAUGCAAGUCGAACGAUGAAGCCCAGCUUGCUGGGUGGAUUAGUGGCGAACGGGUGAGUAACACGUGAGUAACCUGCCCUUGACUCUGGGAUAAGCCUGGGAAACUGGGUCUAAUACUGGAUAUGACUUCUCAUCGCAUGUGGGGGGUGGAAAGAUUUAUUGGUCUUGGAUGGACUCGCGGCCUAUCAGCUUGUUGGUGAGGUAAUGGCUCACCAAGGCGACGACGGGUAGCCGGCCUGAGAGGGUGACCGGCCACACUGGGACUGAGACACGGCCCAGACUCCUACGGGAGGCAGCAGUGGGGAAUAUUGCACAAUGGGCGCAAGCCUGAUGCAGCGACGCCGCGUGAGGGAUGACGGCCUUCGGGUUGUAAACCUCUUUCAGUAGGGAAGAAGCGAGAGUGACGGUACCUGCAGAAGAAGCGCCGGCUAACUACGUG
rnacentral:rRNA from 1 species